rnacentral:rRNA from 1 species
GUAGGGUGCAAGCGUUAAUCGGAAUNACUGGGCGUAAAGCGUGCGCAGGCGGUUCUGUAAGACAGAUGUGAAAUCCCCGGGCUCAACCUGGGAAUNGCAUUUGUGACUGCAGGACUAGAGUUCAUCAGAGGGGGGUGGAAUUCCAAGUGUAGCAGUGAAAUGCGUAGAUAUUUGGAAGAACACCAAUGGCGAAGGCAGCCCCCUGGGAUAACACUGACGCUCAUGCACGAAAGCGUGGGGAGCAAACAGGAUUAGAUACCCUGGUAGUCCACGCCCUAAACGAUGUCAACUAGUUGUUGGGGAUUCAUUUCCUUAGUAACGUAGCUAACGCGUGAAGUUGACCGCCUGGGGAGU